rnacentral:rRNA from 1 species
GACGUACCACCCGAACGUUAUUCGGAUUCACUGGGCUUACAGAGUCCGUAGGCGGUCAAGAAAGUUAGGCGUGAAAUCCCUCGCUCAACUGAGGAAUAGCGCUUAAAACUACUUGGCUAGAGAGAGUCAGAGGUGAGCGGAACUGAUGGUGGAGCGGUGAAAUGCGUUGAUAUCAUCAGGAACACCGGUGGCGAAAGCGGCUCACUGGGGCUUUUCUGACGCUGAGGGACGGAAAGCUAGGGGAGCGAACGGG